GAUGAAGAACGUAGCGAAAUGCGAUACGUAAUGUGAAUUGCAGAAUUCAGUGAAUCAUCGAAUCUUUGAACGCAUAUUGCGCUCUCUGGUAUUCCGGAGAGCAUGCUUGUUUGAGUAUCAGUAAACACCUCAACUCCCUUUUCUUUUUUGAAAUGGGAGCUGGACUUGAGUGAUCCCAACACUUUUCUCACUGGAAAGUGGCGGGUCACUUGAAAUGCAGGUGCAGCUGGACUUUUCUGUGAGCUAUAAGCAUAUCUAUUUAGUCUGCCUAAAAAACAGAUUAUUACCUUUGCUGCAGCUAACAUAAAGGAGAUGAGUUCUUGUGCUGACUGAUGCAGGAUUCACAGAGACAGCUUUGCGGCUGACUUUGUAAACUCGAUCUCAAAUCAAGUAAGACUACCCGCUGAACUUAAGCAUAUCAAUAAGCGGAGGA
rnacentral:misc_RNA from 1 species